rnacentral:rRNA from 1 species
CCUCUCGGGGGUAAGCGGGUAGAACUUGCAAGUAUUGAUGAAAGAUUCAGACUUUGAUUUUAUUUGUUUAGUAAAUAUUGUUAAGUUAUUCUUUCGAGAAUUGACUAAUUUGUUUACUUUAAUCUUAUAAAUGAACGUCGCAUUUCUUUUAUUCAUUCGGGUUGCAUGCAACUGAUUUUGGUAGUUUUAGGGAUUAGAAAUCUGUAAAGUUAUUAUUCGUAAUAAUUUUAAGUUUUAAUUUACCAACUACUAUUGCGGUUGUAUUAAUAAAUAAACAUGAGUUUAAUGACUCGGUCAAUUUUACUUACUAGUUGUGUACAUUUUUUAUAUGGACGAGUAAUCGUAAUAUAUUUAAUGUACUAAUUGUCUGUAAGUAAUAUUUUUUGGCAAUGUUUACUAUUGCAAUCUAAAGCAUGCGUGGUCUGCCUGU